AGGGACCCUUACUCGAGGCCAUUUUCAUUAUUUCUGAUGCAGUUUAGAAGGAAGGUUGUCCAAAGUAAUCGUAGACUUACAAGGAGCAAGACCAUUAGUGUAAUGUACCUUUAGUUUGUCAAUGUGAGUCAAUGUGUAAAAACCACGUGGUCCAACAUGUGCCAUCUUAAAUUAAUAAAUUGAUUUGAUCAAUAAAUUCAAAGGGUAAGGUAAAGACGAUAUUUAAAAUGGAAAUCCUUCUAAGUCUACCAUUUUAUAACUCAAUUAUAAUGAAGAGAGGAUCAUUAUCAAAAAAUAAGGAGACAGCACGGAUUGAAUCCAAGAUCACAUAGAAUAUCAUUCAGAACAAUUUGAAAAGAAUCGUGGCUUCUUCAUUAUGGAUAUGAACCGUACUAACAAAGGUGAUUCGAAAACGUAUCCAAUAAAGAUGUGAGUUGUCAACUCGGAGUCGAGGACCUAUGAAGAAUAUAUAUCCAGUUUUUAACAGAAAAAUUGCUUCUUUUUCUAGGGUUGGUUGCUGCAAGCCGCAAUUUAAUAAUAAUAGACAUGUCAAUGAAAAAAGAUGUUGGAAAACUUUUAAUUCUUUUAAGAGGUUCCUUUUGACAUAAGAGAGAAAACUUCCACAAACUGUAAUUGACCAAUGGACAUAUUAAGAAGUCUCUUUAAACAACAUCACACCACAGGAUACCACAUCAAAUCACAUUACCAUCACAUUCACAUGAGAUUCAGAUCAUAAGCAUCUUUAUAUUUUAGUCUACGUUUAGAGAUACGAAAUUAUGAUUUCAUAAUUGUCUUAUGAAGGUUUAUACCUGCUGCACUGAAAACAUUGGUGCUGAUAAGUUUGACAAUUAUGUUGUCUUUAAAUAGAUAAUAUGUACAUCUAAAAGUUUAUAUUGUUCAAUAGUUUAAACUUGUAACAUUAUUGUGGUUUACGACAGAUGUUCAUAGAUUUGUUAUAGUUAAAAAUCAAUUUGUUGAUAACUGAAAUGUUUUCUCUUAUGGGAACGAGUGAUUAUCUAAGGGAGGAAUGUAUUUUCCGAAUUUUUCUCUGAUUCACCUCAACAAUUGUUUCCUUCAGUCAUCCAGUUGAUUUGGAUUAGAUAAUAGAACUGAGUUUGAGCUUUAAUAUCUUCAUGAUUGUCUUCCUAGUUGUUAAUAACUGUUCCCCUAUUUACAGGGUCGAUUAUUUUGAAACAAUUUGGAGAAUCUUGAGUAUUCUCACGUUGCUCAUUGUUAUAUACACAUCACCACUUUCGUGACAAAUAUUUUUUAUCGUUAUCUAUAAAACAAUACUCAUCCAAAUAAGAGAAGGGUGUUCCAGAAUGAAGAUAUACUUCAUUUUUCAGUCUAUAUUUCCAGAAGUACUAUGGAAGCUAUGUUCAGAAUAUUCUUAUAUGCUGUUCCUCCUAUGGUGAAUAUCAGUACUAAUCUCUUGACUUUCUCUUUUUGUGUUUCAAGUGAUUGGUCCGUAACCGAUUGAACUUCCACUUAUGUAUAACUCAAUUGGACUGGAUCAAAAAUUAUCAAAAGCGACUCGUUAGUUAAGACUGUUACCAUUUUUAAUCCGAUAUCUUCGUGGGAGGAUUUCCACUAUAUAUCGUCUAUAUAAAUAAUCACAAGUUCACUUAAAGUUUUGGUGAUUCGAGAAUCAAAUGCAACUGUUAAAUACUGGUAUUGAUAAUAAGGUGCAACUAAAGACUAUUAAAUAUGGGUGGACCAGCGUUUGUCGUCUUUUGGUGUGAAGAUUUAGGUCAGUCGUCGUUAUUACCACAAAAAUUUAUCUGAAUUCUAAUCAUAUAAUCCCCGAAUAGGUGAUUUUCGAUAACCAAGAAGAUGCUUGACCCUUCAAAUCUAUCAGGAAACAACCUCCUGUCGGCAUUAUCCGUAAUGCAUAUAUCAGUCGUCAAAAUCCAAGCUUGUGUAAUUGCACUUUCCCCAACCAGAUUAAAUUUUGUCGUAGUAAUCUAAGUUGGGCGUGGCUUCAGAGCUUGUAGUAGAGCCAUGCAGUUUCUGUUUUGCUGUUUAAUGCAGCUUUCCUCCUUUCCUACAUAUGUUCAGAAGCUGCAAAACCUAGAAUUCCAAAAAUACUAUUAUAUAAGGUGCUUGAAUAAGUUCUCGCUGUUAUUUUUGUGAAAAUCAAUGCUUUAUUUACGCAAUGUGGUGCACAACACGUCACUCAAAGUACAGCCCAUCACAAGACACUACUUUUUCCCAUCUUUCUGGCAGCAAAUGAAUGCCUUGUCGAAUUCAUUCCUAAUGCUUUCAAACGUUUGGAAACUGUUGAGUCAUCCACUCCUAAUGAUUUUCCAAAUUUUAGUUUAAGUAAUGCCAAAUAUUUUGCCCAAAUUUAUCUUUCUUGUGAAAUCUGCUAAAUUACUUCUCACAUUAGUGGAUUUUUUAAUAGCAGUCAUUAAUGGUGUAUUUCCAUUUUUAUCUUCAUCAAUUCCACUUAUUUUACCUUUAUCCAGAGAUGAUUUAAGUACAUAAGUAGUGCCAAAUAUUUUGCCCUCGUUUAUUUUUCUUAAAAAUACACACCGUGUUCGAUUAAAUCAUAGCCACCUUCAACUGUCUUCUAUCCUUAUUCCGUAUAUAUAUAGGAAGGAGAAAUUGUUGUUAAAGCUAUAUUUCCGCUCUUAAGAAGUCUAUUUAAACUUAAAUGAUGUCAAAUAUUUCGUCCUAAUUUAUUUUUUUUUUGUGAAUACUUUUAUCACUUUUAACAAAUCCACCAGUGUCAAUAAUACUUCGAGAAUAUCAGGUUGUAUUUGUUAAAUAGUAUGCACAUAAAAAUUCAGCAUAUGUUUUAUGUACAAAUCGAGGGUUAUUGUAAUUAUCAAACCCAGUUUUUCCGAAAUUUAAAUGCUUUCUUAAAGAAAUAAAAUGUCAAUUUAAUUGUUAUUUAUGAGAAAGUCGUUUAUGUGAGGGAACAGAUCAACGACGUGUACUAUCUUCAAAGGUACCCUCAGGAGGGAUUUUUUAAAUGUCUUAAUUUUCAUAAGACAAUUAGCAAAACAUAAUGGAGUAAAAUACAAACCAUUACAAUUUCCACAAGCGAUGGUACUUUGUGUUCUUCUUGAGUUUUCGUAUAAUAAACGAAUACUUUAUUAAAUUAUAUAUUAGCCGUUCUGGUCCAACACCUUUUGCCAUCUUUCUGGUAAAAAUAAAAUUUUUGGUCUUUGCUGAUCGAGGUGGUUUUUGACCUCAUUUGAGGUGAACGUUUUACCGUCUCAAAAAAUCUUUGAGUGACCGGAACAUUAUUAGUUCUGGCCCUUUCUGUUGAAAUCUAUCAUUUGGUCCAGCUGAUGACAGUAGACGUCCGAAUUAAUCGUUGUUUUAUCCGGUAAAAACUCAAAAAAACGAUUCCUUUAAAAUCCCACCAAACAGUUACUUCAUCAUCUGUUUUACUGUUUCUACAUAGUAAUAGAUAUAGUUUUCCUAUGGCCACUUUUGUCUUCUUCCAGAGUUCCUCGGUGUUCCUCUUCCUGGUCAGCUUAGAGUCCAGUUGGAUUCCUAAAUAUUUGGCCUCGUUGGCCCAUUCUACCUUAUUUCCUUCGAUGAUUACGCUGUCUGGGGUUGGUGAUCUUCUUUUUUGUGUUUAUUUGGAUUUUCCAUUUGCGACACCAUUUGAGUGUGUCUUUCAUGGCUGUCUGUAGGAGUCUUUGGAUACUUCCUGUGUUCCUGUGGCUUGUUAGAAGUGCAGUGUCGUCGGCGUAUUGAGCUAUAAUUUUGUUAGGUUGUCGUUGUAUCCGUAUGUUUUCAUCUUGUGGAUGGGGCUCAACUAAUGGUUUCCCCGAGGCGAAGCUCCCACUCCAGUUGGAUGUUCACUAGUGGUUCCUCCGAUUGUUUCGUCUCCUGGUCUGUCAAGGUCAUUUCUAUGAGGGUUUGUCCAUCGUUCAACAUGGGUUGACCGACAUUUGUUCUUCUGUGGUUUAUUCUGCUUUUACUGUAUACGUUAAUGGGAUUUUCAAGUUUGGUACGGACGUCUUGUAUGAAUCUUCGCUAGUUCAAUAUUUAAUUGUUUUUGCUGUUUAAAAAAUAGUGUCAUGGCAGAUGAACUUCUUUUAAAAAAUGUUACAUUCCCUUUAAUUUUUUUCAGCGUAUUUUAAAGAAUUCUGAGCAAUAAGGUUUAAGGUAUGUGCAUAACAUCCAAAAUGCUGUAACUGAAGUUCUUCUUUUAUUGCACUCUUAGUAUUAGGAGCGUUUUUCCUGAAAUAAUCAUUAAAAUUUUAAUUUUUAAAUUCCAAUCUUCAAUAAUAUUUUUAAUAAACUUGGCAAGAUUGACACUAGUAUGUCUUUCACCAAAAACUUCGCAUCCUAGUACUGCAUGUUUAAUUUCUAAGUUACAAUGUUAUUUAGAAAAUGUGCAGUAACUCCCAAAAAAUUGUCUGUUGUAGAUGAUGUCCAACAAUCAGUUGUAAGAGUAACUUUAUUUACGUUGUUCAUUGCUUCUUUAGUUUUAUUAUACACUUUUUCAUAUUUAGCCGGAAGUACGGUACUUGUUAUUGUUGUUCUGUUAGGUAAUCGGGAUGAUGGAUUAAGUAUCUGUACAAACAAUUGAAAUCCAUGAUCUUCUACCACCGAAAAUGGCUGAAAAUCAUGGUUAAAAAGUAGCAUGAGCAUAUCAUCAAUUUUAUUUUGCGUAGUUCCUUCAACUUUUUUGUUUUGGCCAUUACAAUAUUUGAUCACUCUCCCAUUUGGUCAUCCCCGAAGUAGAUGAUAGAUAAAUCCUAUCUAAUACAACCCUACAAGAAGAAACUAGAAGCUAUUUUAAAUAUAAAAGAAAUAUUUUUAAUAUAUGCCAUCUUCAAUUAGGGCCCCGAUUUGGGCUACUUAAUGCCGUUGUUGCCGUUGUCAAAUGUACUGUACACAAAGUAUUUUAAAAUAAAAAUAAAAUUGUUCAUAGUA